rnacentral:rRNA from 1 species
AGCAGCCGCGGUAAUUCCAGCUCCAAUAGCGUAUAUUAAAGUUGUUGCAGUUAAAAAGCUCGUAGUUGAAUUUCGAGAUCAAUUUGUCGGUCGUGCCUCGGUACGUACUGGCAUUAUUGAUUUCUCCCUUCUGAAGAACCGCGAUGUCAUUAAUUUGGUGUCGUGGGGAAUCAGGACUGUUACUUUGAAAAAAUUAGAGUGUUUAAAGCAGGCGCACGCUUGAAUACAUUAGCAUGGAAUAAUGAAAUAGGACGUUUGAUUCUAUUUUGUUGGUUUCUAGGAUCGACGUAAUGAUUAAUAGGGAUAGUUGGGGGCAUUAGUAUUCAAUUGUCAGAGGUGAAAUUCUUGGAUUUAUUGAAGACUAACUACUGCGAAAAGCAUUUGCCAAGGAUGUUUUCAUUAAUCAAGAACGAAAGUUAGGGGAUCGAAGACGAUCAGAUACCGUCGUAGUCUUAACCAUAAACUAUGCCGACUAGGGAUCGGAUGAUGUUAAUUUUUAAUGACUCAUUCGGCGCCUUAC